rnacentral:lncRNA from 1 species
AACGAGCAAUUUUAUAAAAUAAAUUUGUCGUAAUCUCUUACGGUUGCGAAGGAGUCGUGAUCACAAGGAAAACAGUGUUUGGGGAGAUAACUCCUACAAAGAAAAGUAUUCGGUUACGCAGGGUAAAUUUUAAAAGCGCAUAAACUGUUCGAUAUCAUAUACCAAAUAUCUAAGCGACAUAUUGCGAAACAAAUAUUUAUCGCAAGAACAAAAUUAGGCGGAAGAAAAAAAAAAUAAUCAGAUGAAAAACAAUAGGAAUUCCCACAGAAAAGUGGAAAGACCUAAUUAAUAAC